AGUGACUCAGUGACUCACUACUGUAAUGGUCCAGGUUACACAGUGACUCACUACCGUAAUGGUCCAGGUUACAUAGUGACUCACUACCGUAAUGGUCCAGGUUACAUAGUGACUCACUACCGUAAUGGUCCAGGUUACAUAGUGACUCAGUGACUCACUACUGUAAUGGUCCAGGUUACAUAGUGACUCAGUGACUCACUACUGUAAUGGUCCAGGUUACAUAGUGACUCAGUGACUCACUACUGUAAUGGUCCAGGUUACAUAGUGACUCAGUGACUCACUACUGUAAUGGUCCAGGUUACAUAGUGACUCAGUGACUCACUAAUGUAAUGGUCCAGGUUACACAGUGACUCACUACAGUAAUGAUCCAGGUUACAGUGACUCACUACUGUAAUGGUCCAGGUUACAUAGUGACUCACUACUGUACUGGUCCAGGUUACAUAGUGACUCACUACUGUAAUGGUCCAGGUUACAUAGAGACUCACUACCGUAAUGGUCCAGGUUACAUAGUGACUCACUACCGUAAUUGUCCAGGUUACAUAGUGACUCACUACCGUAAUUGUCCAGGUUACAUAGUGACUCACUACCGUAAUGGUCCAGGUUACAUAGUGACUCACUACUGUAAUGGUCCAGGUUACAUAGUGACUCACUACUGUAAUGGUCCAGGUUACAUAGUGACUCACUACUGUAAUGGUCCAGGUUACAUAGUGACUCACUACUGUAAUGGUCCAGGUUACAUAGUGACUGACUACCGUAAUGGUCCAGGUUACAUAGUGACUGACUACCGUAAUGGUCCAGGUUACAUAGUGACUAACUACCGUAAUGGUCCAGGUUACAUAGUGACUCAGUGACUCACUACUGUAAUGGUCCAGGUUACAUAGUGACUCAGUGACUCACUAAUGUAAUGGUCCAGGUUACACAGUGACUCACUACCGUAAUGAUCCAGGUUACAUAGUGACUCACUACCGUAAUGGUCCAGGUUACACAGUGACUCACUACCGUAAUGGUCCAGGUUACACAGUGACUCACUACCGUAAUGGUCCAGGUUACACAGUGACUCACUACUGUAAUGGUCCAGGUUACAUAGUGACUCACUACUGUAAUGGUCCAGGUUACAUAGUGACUCACUACUGUAAUGGUCCAGGUUACAUAGUGACUCACUACCGUAAUGGUCCAGGUUACAUAGUGACUCACUACUGUAAUGGUCCAGGUUACAUAGUGACUCAGUGACUCACUACUGUAAUGGUCCAGGUUACAUAGUGACUCACUACUGUAAUGGUCCAGGUUACAUAGUGACUCACUACUGUAAUGGUCCAGGUUACAUAGUGACUCACUACUGUACUGGUCCAGGUUACAUAGUGACUCACUACUGUAAUGGUCCAGGUUACAUAGUGACUCACUACCGUAAUGGUCCAGGUUACAUAGUGA